GGUUGUGCUGUUUGUUUGACUUGACCUGCUCCAAUAUCACUGACCUCCUGAGGGCUUACACAACCUCCAGGCCCCUCAGAUCAUCUGACAUGGGCCAGCUGGAAGUCCCUUGAUGAAAUCUUAAAUUCAGAGGCUUUAACAGUGUCCCUCCCUCCCUCUUCAUCCUCCCUGAGGGCCCUGCUGGCCUUGGCACAGAGAUGCCAGCCUGUCUGCCCGCAUUUCCCUCGGCACGACGGUGGCAGCUGGGGGCCUGGCUGCCCUGUCUGCCUCCAUACUCCCUGGUGUGCAAAAGAAAAAGGGUCAAUUCACAAUAUGUAGUAGCAAACACGUCUGCAAACACCAGGACAGCUGUGCA